ACAGUGUCUCAGGAGGAGCAGAACUGGUCAUCCACACUUAUCCUCAUGCUGCUUAUGCAUUACUUGUGGACAGAGAAAAUGAAGAUGCUUAUCAUUUAUUAUCAUGCAACUUCUAAAGCCAUAUAAGAUGUCAUGCAACGCUUUGAAGAGUUUUCCAUUCAAAGCCGAAGACAGAAGCCGACCAAAGACAGAACCACUCUAACAAAGCACUUCUACUUCUUCCCAGGUCUCUAAGGGCAGGAUUCACAGUUGUUUAACACAGAUUUGUAGCCACAUAUAAAAUUAUGUUGCAAUGCUUUUUGAUCAAACUUUUGGAUGAAUCACUGAAUGGGCCUACCGGCCAGUGACCCAAGUGACAGAAAAAAAAAUGCAAAUAGACACAAAUUAACAACAAAGACCCAAUCUAGAACUACUCAAGAUCUACAACGAUAAAGCUGUGUCAUUUUGUGUCUCUUUUAGUCUUGGUGUUUUGCUCUUUUGUAAUUGGGGUGGGGGGGAAUCUUACAUGACUGUAUUCAGGGGCCUGCAGUCUUAUAAUCUAUCCUUGAUAAAACUUAAAUAAUAUAAACAUUUAUAUUUGUAUAUAUAAUUAACAGUGUGUAAGCCUUUGAAUUAAAGGAACAUAGACAUUUUUAUCAACUUACAUUUAACAGGUUGCUUACUCAUGGUUGUCCUGCAACUAGUCACUAGGCUCCUAGUUCUUCCAUCAAAUUUUAAAACACAAAAAAUCUAAUUCAUGAAAUCACUUGGAUGUUCUUUACAGCCAAAGCAACAUUGUUUUCAUUUUAAAUUUCUUAAAAGUUAUAAGACACCAGACAGCACUGCCAUUAACUCAGACACAGUGCCCCUGUUAAUCAUCAGUACUCUUGGUAAAAACUAGACAAACAUCUUUAGCAUCACACAUGAAUAACUGUGCAUAAUUAAGCUCCCUAACAGCUUGUUUUGAUUCUUAACAUCUCAAUAUUGAAUGGGCAUUUACUUUUGUUCUUGCUUGCGUAAAUUUUGUCCACGUAGGAUACCAACAUUCAGCACUAUGAUAUUUUCAAAUGGUUUUCUUGUACGAAUAGUUGGACUAGGCUGGGGAUGUCUGCUGUUGUCGUCCUAAGCCUAUGUCGUGCUCUUUUACUUGAUCUGUGACAAUGAGCUCUCCAAAUAAACUUGACUUAAGUUGA